CUGAAAGUUUGUUUCCAGAUAGUUCGUUGAUCAGUCCACCUUAUAACUCUUUACAGCACUGUCUCAGAACUCUGUCAGGUUGUCUGGCUGGAAUCCUGCAUCCCCGGCCUCAGCUAGAAGGUCAGCUGGAUUUUGGCUAAUCUUGUCAGGAUCAGUGCAACUUGGCUCCAGCCAUGAGUUGAGUUCACAUCUCUCAUUCCUCCGUGACUGGUGGGCUGCCCAAGACAUCAUCUUCACAAGGUGGUAGCAGAAGCCCAAGGGAGCAGACCCAGCACUGAAAUGGGGCAGUCUUCCUGGUUCCUGGAAAGCAGUGGAGGAACAAUUCUCGUGUCUCCUGGAGGCUCUCUGAAAGCAGCUCGCACUGCUCUGCUACAAGCAAAUUGAAAUAUUCACAGCCCAGCUGGUCACUCAGAAGAGAUCGAGAGCAGAGCAAGACCACGAUAAGGGCCUGCAACAAAUUUUCCAUUUCAUCCUCAUCAGCAAGCCUGUAGGAUCGGGGAUAGUGCAUGGGGAUUUCACCGGGUGUACACCGUGUGCUGGGCAGGUCUAUCAGCCUUGGGAUGACACACAGUUUCCCUGUGUAACCACCAACAGUUCCCAGUUUCUGCUUUAAUUGAUGAGCAGUGUUCCGGGCGUACACAGGUCCCCCAAUCCACGUGGCGUCUGUUAAGAGUGUAUAGAGUACAAGGGGGCUGUUCACUGCUAUUAGGAGAGCAUCACACAGGACAUUCUGCUCCUUCCUGAAGCCAACAUCACUAGCCCAGCUUUUGGAAAAUAUCACAAACCCCUGAGAACAAGGAUAUAUCUGUGUCUUCAUUAAUUUCUCCAGUCCUUUAUGAUCUGAGAAGAGCUUCUUACAGAGGGAUUCUGGUUUAAAUUGUAUCUCUUCCUGUGUCACUGAAAAUUCAAGGAAUAGAAGUUACUAAAAUUUACAAAGGAUAUUUAAGUAUUCCUGCAACAUCGUAAGAAGAGAUGAACCUAGCCAUGGAAUCAUGGAUUUCCUUGUCUGCAAAGAAAGCACCUCCUCUUCACAGGCCAGGGCUGGGAAGUCCCUGUUUCUGGCAGCUCUCAUACAGGGGAAGGCAAUCAGGGAGGGGUCUUCACAGAACAGCCUUCUAGCACUCUGUCCUCAACCCCAAAUGGUCCAGUAGUACUAGGAAGGUAUUCCUUCCUGUUAAGGGUGUGUGUGUAUGUGUGUGUGAGAGAGAGAGAGACAGAGACAGAGAGAGAGAGAGACAGAGAGAGAACCUGAUGCUUUUGGGAAACUAAGAACUUUCCUUUUCCUGUGGCAAUUUUGCCCCCCUGGGAUAUUUGGCAAUAUCUGGAAAUGUUUUGAUUUUUCAUAGCUGGAGAGGUGCUACUGGCAUCUAGUGGCUAGAGGCCAGGAAUGCUGCCAAACAUCCUACAAUUCUCAGGGCACCCUCCCUCAACAAAGAAUUAUCUGAUCUAAAUAUCAGUAGGGUCAAGACUGAGAAACUCUUGCCUUAGGAAGAGUCCAGGUGACCCCGUGGCUCACCUCCUUCUGCCUUGGAAAGCCAGGGGGCAGCUAUUUCAAAUUUAUUCUCUCAUAUUUGGAGAACAAAAGCUAUCUGUGACUGUAAGCCCAAAACGCACAGCGGUGUAGGGUGGAUUUGAUGACUGAAAUCAAGAAUUUGCCAUGUAUAUUAAUUCAGGACAAUUGUGUCUGCUAAGCCCUACAUUUGACCUUCUCUAAGGAGAAAGGCUUGGACGAAUUGCUACCAACUUAAUUUUAGAAAAUAAUCCCCUUAAUUUUAAUAAAUAAUCCCCUCAGCUGAAAUCAAGAAGGAAUACCUGGAAACAAGCGUUGUUGUAGAGCCCCCUUAAAUUCCAGGACUUUGAUGGGAGAUGACGGGCUUCUUCGUGUAGAUGAAGCUGGUGAAAUCAGGUGAAGGCUGUAGUCUGCGGCCAAAUUGGAAGGAGCUAAACAAAUCCAUGGAGAGUUGUUUCAGAUGAAAAAAAAAAAAAGUAAAAGAAUGUUUCCAUUGCUCUUCCUACUGUUGACAUAUGGUGUGUGUCAUGCCUGAGCUGUUCUCAUUCUUUCUAUGCCUCAAACAGUUCACAUAUGUUAGGAAAAGAGGUCUGGGACUCCUGUAGGGCCAUGCAUCUUCUAAGUCACCUGUGACUUAUCUUGGGCAAGUCAUUUCACCUCUCUCUCCUGCAAGGGCGAGCAGGUGAUCCCUAAAGUGCCUUCCAACUCUAAUAUUCCGGUUCCAGGUCACCUCUAAGAAGAAAAGGCUUCCAGUAGUGGUGGUAGUGGUGGUGGUAGGGUGGUGUCAGAAAAAGUAAGCACAGUAUUUUUAAAAUAUUAUUAUAGUUGUUAAAGUCCCCCCCACCCCAAAAUUUAGAUGGAAUGGAAAGUGGUAGGAUCUCUAGUUUGGGGUUUAUGUGUGUGUGUGUGUGUGUCUGUGUGUGUAAGUAAACUCAAACAAAUUUAAGAUAAGAGAAAGUAUCCAAUAAAAUCUCUGAAGUCUUGAUCCGAGCUUCUU